UGUGAACAACUAGAAAUACCAGAAACAAGAGAGGAAUCACCUGUCUGAGGUACAGGAGACCUGAGGUACUGAGAAAACCAAAGCUGAAAGUAAUAUUACUAGAGAGACCAGAUCUUCAAGGAAAGAAAAAAGAGAAAAACACGCACACAAGGAGAAUGUCAUGUGAAGAGGGAGGCAGAGAGAUUGGGUGAUUCAUCUACAACCUAAAGUAUUUCAAUUUGCUGAUGUACAAGGACAGAUUGGAACCAACCUUCCUGUUUCGCCAGCCACCAAAUGGACUUUUCUGCUAGACAAUAGGAAAUUACUAUCACGAGAAUUUGCAAGGAAC